rnacentral:rRNA from 1 species
UACGAAGGGGGCUAGCGUUGUUCGGAAUUACUGGGCGUAAAGCGUAUGCAGGCGGACUUUUCAGUCGGGGGUGAAAUCCCGAGGCUCAACCUCGGAACUGCCUUCGAUACUGGAAGUCUUGAGUCCGGGAGAGGUGAGUGGAACUCCGAGUGUAGAGGUGAAAUUCGUAGAUAUUCGGAAGAACACCAGUGGCGAAGGCGGCUCACUGGCCCGGUACUGACGCUGAGAUACGAAAGCGUGGGGAGCAAACAGG